rnacentral:rRNA from 1 species
AUGAACGCUGGCGGCGUGCUUAACACCUGCAAGUCGAACGAUGAAGCUCAGCUUGCUGGGUGGAUUAGUGGCGAACGGGUGAGUAACACGUGAGUAACCUGCCCUUAACUCUGGGAUAAGCCUGGGAAACUAGGUCUAAUACCGGAUAGGAGCGCCUACCGCAUGGUGGGUGUUGGAAAGAUUUAUCGGUUUUGGAUGGACUCGCGGCCUAUCAGCUUGUUGGUGAGGUAAUGGCUCACCAAGGCGACGACGGGUAGCCGGCCUGAGAGGGUGACCGGCCACACUGGGACUGAGACACGGCCCAGACUCCUACGGGAGGCAGCAGUGGGGAAUAUUGCACAAUGGGCGAAAGCCUGAUGCAGCGACGCCGCGUGAGGGAUGACGGCCUUCGGGUUGUAAACCUCUUUCAGUAGGGAAGAAGCGAAAGUGACGGUACCUGCAGAAGAAGCACCGGCUAACUACGUG